rnacentral:rRNA from 1 species
UGGGGAAUUUUGGACAAUGGGCGAAAGCCUGAUCCAGCAAUGCCGCGUGUGUGAAGAAGGCCUUCGGGUUGUAAAGCACUUUUGUCCGGAAAGAAAUCCUUGGCUCUAAUACAGUCGGGGGAUGACGGUACCGGAAGAAUAAGCACCGGCUAACUACGUGCCAGCAGCCGCGGUAAUACGUAGGGUGCAAGCGUUAAUCGGAAUUACUGGGCGUAAAGCGUGCGCAGGCGGUUUGCUAAGACCGAUGUGAAAUCCCCGGGCUCAACCUGGGAACUGCAUUGGUGACUGGCAGGCUAGAGUAUGGCAGAGGGGGGUAGAAUUCCACGUGUAGCAGUGAAAUGCGUAGAGAUGUGGAGGAAUACCGAUGGCGAAGGCAGCCCCCCUGGGCCAAUACUGACGCUCAUGCACGAAAGCGUGGGGAGCAAACAGGAUUAGAUACCCUGGUAGUCCACGCCCUAAACGAUGUCAACUAGUUGUUGGGGAUUCAUUUCCUUAGUAACGUAGCUAACGCGUGAAGUUGACCGCCUGGGGAAUACGGUCGCAAGAUUAAAACUCAAAGGAAUUGACGGGGUCAUAGCUGUUUCCU